AAUAAAGUGCCUGAAUAAAGGAUUAUUCUGAUAGAAUAAAUUAUGUAACUUUCUUACCUUUAUUA
rnacentral:tRNA from 1 species